rnacentral:piRNA from 1 species
UAUUUCUGUGGCCCUCAUGCUGUUAAAGCGGC